rnacentral:rRNA from 1 species
UCCUGAGGUUGCCUCCUUAAUUUCAAAUGCAUAUAAUAAACUGUGAUAAGCAGGGGAGGGCCUGGUUAGUACUUGGAUGGGAGACCACCUAGGAAGACCAGGUGCUGUAGGUG